UCUGGUUCAAAAGCGACCCUGUGACGAUGAGGAGGAUGAGGAUGAUCAUCAAUGCUGUGAGGUCCCCUGAAUGCUGUGAGGUCCCCUGAAUGCUGUGAGGUCCGCUGAAUGCUGUGAGGUCCCCUGAAUGCUGUGAGGUCCCCUCUCAAUCAAUCAAUCAAUUUGUAUUUGUAUAGCGUCAACUCAUAACAAGUGUUAUCUCGAGUCACUUUACAAAAAGCAGGUAAAAGACCUUACUUAUUGCUAUAUUACAAAGAUCCGGCCUAUCCAUCAUGAGCACUUUGGCAAAGCAGCAAAAGUUACAGUGGUAAGAAAAAACUGCCUUAUUAAAAGGCACGGAGACACACAGAUGUUUACAUCAUGCAAACAGCUGUUUGUGUGUGUGUGUGUGUGUGUGUGUGUGUGUGAUACAGAGGAGAAUUGAGGCUGAGCAGCAGCAGUGAUGUUUCCUCUUAGGCCGUCUCUGUAAGACAAAGACAUGGAGGGGUUGGGGGGUUGGGGGGGCAGUAGAUUUACCCCUUCGGGCAUGUAGAGCGAGACUCCCUGAGAAUCCAUGGAGAGGUGACAGACACACUGAGACGACUCAGACACAAAGAGGUCUUUGUUCCUAAACCUCCUGAAAUCCAGAUCAGAUUUAACUUUAUCAGUCCGUGUCCUCAUCUCAAGGUAAAUCAAAAAAUACAACAACUUACUAAUUGUGUGCAAACAUGGCCGCCAGGUAAGAAUAAAAACAAGGAACCAAGGUCAUAGUAAAUAUAUCAUGACUCCCCAACGUCAGGCUCAAUCAUACACUGUAAAUAUGAAUGUUUGAAGCCUGAGUGACGUCACCCGUCUGUUCCUGCAGGGGGCGCUGGAGUCCCAUUGAUGGCGGUCUCCAUGCUGGAAAUGCUGUCUCAGUCUAACUUUCAGUCAACCUAACGACAGGCUGAGAGCUGGAGCUGAGGCGGGUUUUAACCCUCCUGACAAACCGUUACACCGCGCCCACCUGUCAAUCAGGUCAGCUACACGCCUUAUUGUGAAUAACUCUUAUCCUUCAUCAAAUCAAAACGGAUGAGUCAUCAAAACAUUCACCCCCCGUACAGUGUGUGUCGAUCAAGACAUGAGCUAAUCAGACCUAUUUGUUUUUUUGAACCAGGCUGUAAACAUGUUAAUCUCUGCUGUAAAAACAGCAUUUCUCCUGUGAUCCUGUGAACCCAGGAGUCCAGUUGCUCAUGGCUGCACUUAUGCUUUGGAAACAGACCCAGUGUGGUCGGGCCAAGCCCCCCAGGAAUUGCGCCGACCGUUGAAGCCAAUUUGACAUGGUGGCUGAACCUGGUAUUGCAGUUCCUCGUGUUAAAUUGGGCCCAAAAAUCCUUCCCACAAGCUUACAUUGGGAAAGAGAUGUCUAUAAACCAGAAGAUUACAUUAUUCUUUGCUUCAUGCGCCAC